UACAGAGGGUGCGAGCGUUGUCCGGAAUCACUGGGCGUAAAGGGCGCGUAGGCGGCUCAGUAAGGUGUUUAAUCCCGGGGCCCAACCCCGGACCGGCACUUUAAACUGGGAAUCUUGAAUAGUGGAGAGGUCGGUGGAAUUGGGGGUGUAGCGGUGGAAUGCGUAGAGAUCCCCAAGAACACCAGUUGCGAAGGCGGCCGACUGGACACAUAUUGACGCUGAGGCUCGAAAGCAUGGGGAGCAAACAGG
rnacentral:rRNA from 1 species